AUACGUAUGUCGCAAGCGUUAUCCGGAUUUAUUGGGCGUAAAGCGCGUCUAGGCGGCUUAGUAAGUCUGAUGUGAAAAUGCGGGGCUCAACCCCGUAUUGCGUUGGAAACUGCUAAACUAGAGUACUGGAGAGGUAGGCGGAACUACAAGUGUAGAGGUGAAAUUCGUAGAUAUUUGUAGGAAUGCCGAUGGGGAAGCCAGCCUACUGGACAGAUACUGACGCUAAAGCGCGAAAGCGUGGGAAGCAAACAGGAUUAGAUACCCUGGUAGUCCACGCCGUAAACGAUGAUUACUAGGUGUUGGGGGUCGAACCUCAGCGCCCAAGCUAACGCGAUAAGUAAUCCGCCUGGGGAGUACGUACGCAAGUAUGAAACUCAAAGGAAUUGACGGGG
rnacentral:rRNA from 1 species